rnacentral:rRNA from 1 species
AUUGAACGCUGGCGGCAGGCCUAACACAUGCAAGUCGAACGAGUGGCGGACGGGUGAGUAAUGUCUGGGAAACUGCCCGCUGGAGGGGGAUAACUACUGGAAACGGUCGCUAAUACCUCGUACCCUCGGCUGUGCCCAGAUGGGAUUAGCUUGUAGGUGAGGUAACGGCUCACCUAGGCGACGAUCCCUAGCUGGUCUGAGAGGAUGACCAGGCACACUGGAACGUAGAAACGGUGCAGACUCCUACGGGAGGCAGCAGUGGGGAAUAUGGAACAAUGGGCGCAAGCCGGAUGCAGCCAUGCCGCGUGUAUGAAGAAGGCCUUCGGGUUGUAAAGUAAUUUCAGCGGGGAGGCGUUACCCGCAGAAGAAGAACCGGCUAACUCCGUGCCAGCCGCCGCGGUAAUAC